UACGUAGGGUCCGAGCGUUAUCCGGAAUUAUUGGGCGUAAAGAGCUCGUAGGCGGUUUGUCGCGUCUGCCGUGAAAGUCCGGGGCUCAACUCCGGAUCUGCGGUGGGUACGGGCAGACUAGAGUGAUGUAGGGGAGACUGGAAUUCCUGGUGUAGCGGUGAAAUGCGCAGAUAUCAGGAGGAACACCGAUGGCGAAGGCAGGUCUCUGGGCAUUAACUGACGCUGAGGAGCGAAAGCAUGGGGAGCGAACAGG
rnacentral:rRNA from 1 species